rnacentral:siRNA from 1 species
CCAGCUAUCUAUCAGGAGCUUGG